rnacentral:lncRNA from 1 species
CAUAAUGUAUGUAUGGCGUAUAAUAUGAAUGGAUGUAUUCCAAUAUUAUACGUGUGUUUGUGUUGUUGUGGAGUAUGAUUUGAGAUUAUACUUGUGCUUUAUGUUGGUGUUGAGUAUGAUGUUGAGCUGAUGUGCUGUUACUGAUUGUAUGUUGCGAUUAGGGUGAUUAAUGUGUUAAAUUACUUAACAUGACAUUAUAUUCUAUAAUGCUUAUUAUAUUGAUUGAGGAACUCACCCUUACAACUAU